rnacentral:rRNA from 1 species
GCGCUUGCAACCAGACUUGACCCGACGGGUUCCCCCUGGCUUCUGCCCGGGCUACUCCCGUCGGUGCAGGCCAACAUCGGUUGUGGGGGUCGGUCAAAGGCGCGGGGAAUGUACCUUGUCCUUCGGGGCAAGACUUAUAGCCCCGCGUGUCAUGCGGCCUCCCGCGACCGAGGAACGCGCUUCGGCUCGGAUGUUGGCGUAAUGGUUGUAAGCGACCCGUCUUGAAACACGGACCAAGGAGUC